UACAGAGGGUGCGAGCGUUGUCCGGAAUCACUGGGCGUAAAGGGCGCGUAGGUGGCCCCGACAAGUCAGUGGUGAAAGCUCGACGCUUAACGUCGAGUCGGCCACUGAUACUGUUGGGCUGGAGCACUGUAGAGGCAGAUGGAAUUCCGGGUGUAGCGGUGGAAUGCGUAGAGAUCCGGAAGAACACCGGUGGCGAAGGCGGUCUGCUGGCAGUAGCUGACACUGAGGCGCGACAGCGUGGGGAGCAAACAGG
rnacentral:rRNA from 1 species